GCUGGGUAUUGUAGCGCAUGCCUGUAAUCCUAGCGUCUCAGGAGGCAGAGGCAGGAGGAUCUCGAGUUCAAAAACCAGCCUCGGCAAUGGCAAGGCACAGCGCAAAGCAACUCAGUGAGACCCUGUCUCUA
rnacentral:sRNA from 1 species